UAUUAAAUUGUUUAAAUUGUUCAGUGAUUUUUUUUAUGUAAAAACAUGAAGGUGGUAUAUAUUUGCAAUGUCAUUCCUAACACUAAUCGUGCUUAAUGUUGGAUCUAGAUCGUUAUUCUGUGCUAAACAACUUCCGUAUUAAUUCAGUUCUCUAGAUGCUUUUCACUCACGGUCGCACAGUAUGUGAUUACUGUCAUUAGAGAAUUGUGAUCUGUUUCUUUUUUUUUCUUUUUAAAUAAAGAAAAGUCGAUUGCUGACGUUCACCUAAAAGAAUCGGUUCAAAGAAUCGGUUCAUGACGUCCGUGCAGUCUCACACACAUACACAGUUGCUCUGUCUCUCAAACACACAGCUGUUCUCUGCUCGUCCUGAUUCAACAGCCUGCAUAGCAAAUUAAUCAUGCCAAUGUCCAACCUUUAACACUUUCACUCUCUGUGUCGCACUCUCUCCUUCCUCACACACACACACACACAUGCACACACACACAACCUCUUUCCUGAUUUACUGAAACGCUUUUAACGUGCCUGUGGAUCUCAGUGAGCUGCUGCUGCUGCUUCAGUAUGCCUCAGUUGCACACUUAGCUGCGUCCUACUGACACCCUGUACACAGCUACACAAUGUAGCUUUUUUCCCUUCUCCAACACACCAGAUUCAGUUUAUCAUCAAUUAUUAGAGCUGUAAUGAGCACAAUAACUAAUCUGAUUCACUUGAAUACCAUGUCUUUAUGGCCAACAGUAAUAAAAUGGCAUUUUAAUACACCUCUAUGCAUUUAGAUUUUAGAUUUGAAUGUCCAAGCGUUGUGGUGUGACAUAGCACCUGAUCUGUGUGUUAUGCAACACCGGCUAGCUUUCUCUCCCUGAAUUAGAGACUAUAUUAAGAGCACUGUUGCUCCUGCCAAAUUAUGUGCUAGGACACUUACACAACUCUGGAGAAGAGAGAGAGCGAGAGAGAGAGAGAGAGAGAGAAUAAUGGAUUACGUUUUUAAAAAUUAUAAAUUUCUCUACAUUCCUAUGGCCUUAUGUUUGAUUUUUAUAAUUUUGUGAGCAACCCAAUGUUUCUAGGACCCAAUGUUCCCAGGGCUCUAUUUACCCAGGGCCUUAUUUUUCUAGGGCCUUGUGUUAUAUUUGUGUAAUUUUGGGACUUUCUUAGGGUGUUGUGUUCCCAGGUCCCAAAGUCUCAGCUACGUUCCUUCAACUGAAUCUGCAGUCCAAAUCAUAAUAACGAGUGAAAUAACAGGAGCCUUUAAUGAAACACUGCUGCUGUGUUAUUUAAUUAUGCCCCUUUUCAUUAUUUUGCUGCAUCUUCAAGAUGGUAUGUGAUUGUGUAAAUGGUGCUAACAUGUGUACCAUCGCUUAAACAGGGAAACCAGUGAGUCUCUAAAGACUGUUUAAGAGUUGAUGGUGAUUGGGGAAUACUUCAGACAGGAACUGAAUACAGACACACACAGACACACACAGUUUUAGAAGGAGGAAGUGGAAAGGAGACUGUGUGUGUGUGUGUGUGUGUGUGUGUGUGUGGGUGUGCAAGAGAACAUGGUGUGAGUAAUGUGAGAGUGGAGCGCUCUCCAACCGCGAAUGCUAAUAAUAUCCAUGGCCUUUGGAAGAACAACGUCGGUGUAAACGCCUAAUACGAUAUUCAGGCGCUGAGCGUUGCCCUGGGAUUCUCCUGCAGUGUUAUUAUAUCGAAGCAACAGACAAACUUUACAGUGCGGAAUGAGGAGGUGGUGACAGAGCUCAGAGAGAGAGAGAGAGAGAGAGAGAGAGAGGAGCACUGAUGUGGAAAUUUUCCCUAAGAGACGACUCAGAGUCCUAAUCAGUGUGUGGACGUCCUCUCUCACUCCGGAUGCACCUGCUGGCCCCCGAUCUGUAAUUUCAGCUCCAUGUAAAUGAUGUGGUGUCUCUCUUUCACUUCUCUCUGAGUGGAAGAACUCUGGUGUAUUUACAGACUGAUAUAUGAAAGUGCACCUCAUUAAUAAAAAGCAUCAGCAUCAACAUGGGACUGACAUAAAAGUUCAGUUGGACUUUCCACUCGUCUGAUUGGCUGAUAGCAGAUCCAGAUCCCGCCUCUGACGCUUUAUGAAAGCUGGCUCCACUCUGUUCAUCACUCUGCUGAUCAC